rnacentral:ncRNA from 1 species
CCAAAGGCUCUUUUGAGAGCCACCACAUUCUCCUCCGGAAGAGCUGG